rnacentral:rRNA from 1 species
UACGUAGGGCGCAAGCGUUAUCCGGAAUUAUUGGGCGUAAAGAGCUCGUAGGCGGUUUGUCGCGUCUGCCGUGAAAGUCCGGGGCUCAACUCCGGAUCUGCGGUGGGUACGGGCAGACUAGAGUGAUGUAGGGGAGACUGGAAUUCCUGGUGUAGCGGUGAAAUGCGCAGAUAUCAGGAGGAACACCGAUGGCGAAGGCAGGUCUCUGGGCAUUAACUACGCUGAGGAGCGAAAGCAUGGGGAGCGAACAGG